CUCAGCAUCAUCAAGAAACAAAUUCAUGUACUCAUCAAAGCCCUGUCAAUUAAAAUGAACACCAGUCCAUAAUAAUCCAUAAAAGAUGUUAAUUACCUAAUUAAAAAAAUUAAAAAAAUAAAAACUAGUAGUCAUCUAUAUGCUUACAUAUGCAAGUCGUUAAAACAAGUAAAAUAUUAACAAAGCAAAAGCAAUUCCCAUCCAACCACAGAUCAGCAAUAAAACAAAAAGGCAGCCAACCAAGUGUCUUGGAUAGAUGAAAGAUCACAUGCAAGGAACUUCUUCAACCUAAUGAACCAGAAACCCUGCUAGACAGGAGGGGUUAUGGUCCUAAAGUAAUCACAUCUAUAAUCCAAAUUUCCAAAAGAGAAAGGAAAUAAUUAUGAACAACAAAGAUAAAAAUUUGAGGCCUGCACGUCACUCACUUUUCAGUUCAAUUCACUGUCACUUCCAUCAGAUCAAAUAUUAAUCUGGAACCCUCCUAAUAUUGCAAAUUCAAAAACAAAAAUAUUUUGUCCAUCAAAACAUCAAAUACAUUGCUUAAAGAGACCUUUCAUGGAAAAUGAUUUUUUUUUUUUUUUAGACAAACAGGCCUUUGUUAUUGUUGUAUUAAAGUGUUUUAGAGGCACAUUCUUGGGCCUCUUUUUUAUUAAUUCCUUUG
rnacentral:misc_RNA from 1 species